CUACGGGAGGCUCCAGUAGGGAAUAUUGGACAAUGGGCGAAAGCCUGAUCCAGCAACACCGCGUGCACGAUGACGGCCUUCGGGUUGUAAAGUGCUUUUAGAGGAGAUGAGAAAGGACAGUAUCCUCUGAAUAAGCCUCGGCGAACUACGUGCCAGCAGCCGCGGUAAAACGUAGGAGGCAAGCGUUAUCCGGAUUUAUUGGGCGUAAAGCGCGUGCAGGCGGUCUAGCAAGUUGGAUGUGAAAGCUCCCGGCUCAACUGGGAGAGGUCGUUCAAUACUGUUAGACUAGAGAAUAGGAGAGGGAGGUGGAAUUCCGGGUGUAGUGGUGAAAUGCGUAGAUAUCCGGAGGAACACCAGUGGCGAAAGCGGCCUCCUGGACUAUUUCUGACGCUAAGACGCGAAAGCUAGGGUAGCAAACGGGAUUAGAUACCCUUGUAGUC
rnacentral:rRNA from 1 species